rnacentral:rRNA from 1 species
UACGAAGGGGGCUAGCGUUGCUCGGAAUCACUGGGCGUAAAGCGCACGUAGGCGGACUCUUAAGUCGGUGGUGAAAUCCUGGAGCUCAACUCCAGAACUGCCUUCGAUACUGGGAGUCUUGAGUCCGAGAGAGGUGAGUGGAACUGCGAGUGUAGAGGUGAAAUUCGUAGAUAUUCGCAAGAACACCAGUGGCGAAGGCGGCUCACUGGCCCGAUACUGACGCUGAGGUGCGAAAGCGUGGGGAGCAAACAGG